UGAGGAAUAUUGGUCAAUGGACGGAAGUCUGAACCAGCCAAGUAGCGUGCAGGAUGACGGCCCUAUGGGUUGUAAACUGCUUUUGUAUGGGGAUAAAGUCAAUCACGUGUGAUUGUUUGCAGGUACCAUACGAAUAAGGACCGGCUAAUUCCGUGCCAGCAGCCGCGGUAAUACGGAAGGUCCAGGCGUUAUCCGGAUUUAUUGGGUUUAAAGGGAGCGUAGGCUGGAGAUUAAGUGUGUUGUGAAGUGUAGACGCUCAACGUCUGAAUUGCAGCGCAUACUGGUUUCCUUGAGUACGCACAACGUUGGCGGAAUUCGUCGUGUAGCGGUGAAAUGCUUAGAUAUGACGAAGAACUCCGAUUGCGAAGGCAGCUGACGGGAGCGCAACUGACGCUUAAGCUCGAAGGUGCGGGUAUCAAACAGGAUUAGAUACCCUGGUAGUCCGCACAGUAAAACGAUGGAUGCCCGCUGUUGGUACCUGGUAUCAGCGGCUAAGCGAAAGCAUUAAGCAUCCCACCUGGGGAGUACGCCGGCGG
rnacentral:rRNA from 1 species